CUUCUAAAUUUAUAAUAGAAUUUUAUUUUUUAGUCAAAAAGCUAAAAUAAAUUUAAAAGACGAGAAGACCCUAUAAAUCUUUAUAUUUAGAUAAUUACAAUUUUUUGGAUUUUUUUUGUUGUGAUUGUUGAUAAUAUUUUAUUGGGGUGAUAUUAAAAUUUAAAAAACUUUUAAUUAAUUAAAUCAUUAAUUUAUGAAUAAUUGAUCCGUUAUUAACGAUUAAAAAUUUAAGUUACCUUAGGGAUAACAG
rnacentral:rRNA from 1 species